UUGGACUACCAUGGCAGUCACGGGUAACGGAGAAUUAGGGUUCGAUUCCGGAGAGGGAGCCUGAGAAACGGCUACCACAUCUACGGAAGGCAGCAGGCGCGUAAAUUACCCAAUCCUGAUUCAGGGAGGUAGUGACAAGAAAUAACAACUCGGGGGCCUCACGGCUUACGAGAUUGCAAUGAGAACAAUUUAAAUCUCUUAGCGAGGAACAAUUGGAGGGCAAGUCUGGUGCCAGCAGCCGCGGUAAUUCCAGCUCCAAUAGCGUAUAUUAAAGUUGUUGCAGUUAAAAAAGCUCGUAGUUGAAUUUCUGAUUAUGGAUGUAGCGGUUUCCGUUACAUUUGUAGUCAUCCACAUGAGAACCUUUCUCGGCCUUCACUGGUCGGUUGGGGGAUCAUGUACUUUACUUUGAAAAAAUCAGAGUGUUUCAGGCAGGCGUUUGCAUGAAUACACAAGCAUGGAAUAAUGGAAUAGGACUAGGGUCCAUUUUAUUGGUUAUUGGACCAUAGUAAUGAUUAAUAGGGACAGUUGGGGGC
rnacentral:rRNA from 1 species